rfam:[Clostridium] purinilyticum strain DSM 1384 CLPT_6c, whole genome shotgun sequence.
CUUAAUAAUGGUGAUGGAGUUCACCAGAAUCGCUGAAUGCUAAUGACUCCUACAAGAAA